UGGGGAAUAUUGCACAAUGGAGGGAACUCUGACGCAGCGAUGCCGCGUGAGUGAUGAAGGACUUCGUUUCGUAAAACUCUGUUCUAUGGGAAGAAAAGGACUGUACCACAGGAGAAAGCUCCGGCUCAAUACGCGUCAGCAGCCGCGGUAAUACGUAUGGAGCGAGCGGUGUCAGGAACUAUUGGUCGUAAAGGUUGCGCAGGCGUCAUUACAAGUUGGAUGUGAAAGAUUGUUGCUCAACAUCAAAAUUGCAUCGAAAACUACAAAGCUUGAUUUAAGGAGAGGUAAGUGGAAUUCCUGUUGUAGCGGUGAAAUGCGUGGAUAUCAGGAGGAAAAACGGUGACGAAGGCGCCUUACUGGGCUUCAACUGACGCUCAGGCACGAAAGCUUGGGGAGCAAACAGG
rnacentral:rRNA from 1 species